rnacentral:tRNA from 1 species
UCCCUGUUGGUCCAGUGGUUAGGACUUUGCGCUUUCAUUGCAGGAGGUCUGGGUUCCAUCCCUGGUCAGGAAC